rnacentral:lncRNA from 1 species
AAGUGAGCCCCCAGUGAGAAGCCAAAGUGCUGAACAAGGGCAGUAACACAGCAUCCUACAGCUCUUUCAUGCCUUGUGGUGACAAACAUGCAGAGGGAAAAAGUGAAAUAACAGCACCAAGCAGCAUUACCGAAUGUUCCGAUUGCAAGGAGCAGGACUAUGGAGUUGCCGAACAAAAAAAGAAUGUGCAUCUGCUCCCGAGCUUGUUGGUGGUCUGCACAUGCAUCACAGGGGCACACAAAUCCAAGAAGUCAGAAUAUUCGGUCCAAUCAACACUUCAAUGGGACAGGAUGCAAGAUUGCAAGUUUGUGCUGCAGUGCACUGCACAGCCCUACUGUGAAAACCAUAACCCACGAUGCUCUUGCACUCAGCUAUUCCCAGUGUAGAGAGAGACAAAAAUUUGUGUCGACACCGGUAAGACUGGGACAGUGUACAUGGAAGCAUCGGCAAAAUGUACAGAACAUGCUGAGACAUUGCUAUGUAAAGAAUGUGAGUUGUAUAUGAAAAAUCCACGAAAAUGUUUAGUCUCAGAUGGAAAAUAGCAUUGUUGUCAUUGGCAAAAAUUUUGUGAUGUCAGUGAUAAAACGAGGACAUGCACACGUGCAUUUAACAUGCAGUACAAGCUGCCUUGCAGGUAUAACCAUGCAGCCAGAUUAGAACAAAAUGAGGAACAUUUUGAUGAAAGUUCUAUGUCGAAGUGCCGGCUGAAAUCUGCUUUUAAGCAGACUUAUGUGUCACUGGACAAACUUUAACAAGCAUGGCAAAAAAGACAAAGCCAAAGCGCAGUAGCAGUGAGGCUAGAUACAUAUAUGCGUAUGCACAGCUAUUGGAACUUUCAAAGGGAGCUGCAGAUGUACUAGAACAGUUUGGCACAACUGAACUUCACGAAAAACUCAGUGAGCAUGAUAAUUUCUUUCUCAACCUUCCAGCAUAUUCUAGAGAUAUGAAAGAACAUUUGCCACUUGCUGCAAUAGCACAUAGCAGUGAGCAAAACAUUGGUGAACAGAAAGAUGUCGAAAUUGACAAAAGACUAAACAACUUCUGAAUUGACGUAGACCUGGACUUAUGCAUUCUGCCAGAGUCUAGAUGGUAACGCUACCAAAGAUGGCUGCAUCGCAGAUGAAUCAAGAUCUGGGAGAUGUAAUUAACUUUACUAUAGCCUCACAUGACCCAAGAAUAUGUCAAGCUCUUGCAGAAAGAUCGGACCCACACUUCAUGUCGGGUAAUUUUACACAGCAGAUAAGGACAUUCCAUUCAGUGCAGUACGUUGACUAAUGAACAUAAUGCAUCCUCCCUGAAACACUCUCAACGUUCAUGCUAAGGCAGCACAGCUUCAAGAGAUUUAGUUAUGUCUGUUGUCUUUUUGCUAUUUCAAAUGCUUACACCGAUGCAUCUGGCACCGACCCAUGUGCUGCUGCUAUUGACAAGACCCCGCAAGAAAAUAAAAGAAUUCAUGUGUUUUUUUAACUGGACCCUCAUGUGCACGUUGUGUGCGGCUGAUGUUAUUUAGGCAUGGUUUUAAGCAAUAAAUGUUUUUUAACAGU